AGAUUGAACGCUGGCGGCAGGCCUAACGCAUGCAAGUCGAGCGGUAGAGAGGUGCUUGCACCUCUUGAGAGCGGCGGACGGGUGAGUAAUGCCUAGGAAUCUGCCUAGUGGUGGGGGAUAACGUUCGGAAACGGACGCUAAUACCGCAUACGUCCUACGGGAGAAAGCGGGGGACCUUCGGGCCUCGCGCCAUUAGAUGAGCCUAGGUCGGAUUAGCUAGUUGGUGAGGUAAUGGCUCACCAAGGCGACGAUCCGUAACUGGUCUGAGAGGAUGAU
rnacentral:rRNA from 1 species